CCUACGGGGGGCUGCAGUGGGGAAUAUUGGACAAUGGGGGCAACCCUGAUCCGGCCAUGCCGCGUGUGUGAAGAAGGCCCUCGGGUUGUAAAGCACUUUCAGUGAGGAAGAACGCCUGGUGGUUAAUACCCAUCAGGAAAGACAUCACUCACAGAAGAAGCACCGGCUAACUCCGUGCCAGCAGCCGCGGUAAUACGGAGGGUGCGAGCGUUAAUCGGAAUUACUGGGCGUAAAGCGCGCGUAGGUGGCUUGAUAAGCCGGUUGUGAAAGCCCCGGGCUCAACCUGGGAACGGCAUCCGGAACUGUCAAGCUAGAGUGCAGGAGAGGAAGGUAGAAUUCCCGGUGUAGCGGUGAAAUGCGUAGAGAUCGGGAGGAAUACCAGUGGCGAAGGCGGCCUUCUGGACUGACACUGACACUGAGGUGCGAAAGCGUGGGUAGCAAACAGGAUUAGAUACCCGGGUAGUC
rnacentral:rRNA from 1 species